AACGUGAAAGCCUUCGGGUGAGUAAAGUGGCGCACGGGUGAGUAAUGGAUAAGAACAUGCCCUGAAGUGGGGAAUAACUGUUGGAAACGACAGCUAAUACCGCAUGGCAUCGCAAGAUUAAAGGUGGGGACCGCAAGGCCUACCGCAUCAGGAUUGGCUUAUCUCCCAUUAGCUAGUUGGCAGGGUAAUGGCCUACCAAGGCAACGAUGGGUACGUGGUCUGAGAGGAUGAUCACGCACACUGGAACUGAGACACGGUCCAGACUCCUACGGGAGGCAGCAGUAGGGAAUAUUGCACAAUGGACGCAAGUCUGAUGCAGCAACUCCGCGUGAGUGAAGAAGGCCCUUGGGUUGUAAAGCUCUUUAGAGUGGAAAGAAGUGCCUGUCGGCGAAUAGCUAGCAGGUGUGACGGUACCACUAGAAUAAGCACCGGCUAAUUUCGUGCCAGCAGCCGCGGUAAUACGAAAGGUGCAAGCGUUACUCGGAAUCACUGGGCGUAAAGCGCGCGUAGGCGGUCUCGUAUGUCGAUUGUGAAAGCCCCGGGCUCAACCUGGGAACUGCAGCCGAAACUGCGAGACUUGAAUGUUGGAGAGGGUGGGGGAAUACCUAGUGGAGAAGUGAAAUUCGUAGAGAUUAGGUGGAACACCAGAGGCGAAGGCGCCUGCCUGGCCAAACAUUGACGCUGAGGCGCGAAAGCGUGGGGGAGCAAACAGGAUUAGAUACCCUGGGUAGUCCACGCCGUAAACGAUGGAUACUCGGCGUUCGGAGAGUUAACCCUCUGAGUGCCAAAGUUCACACAUUAAGUAUCCCGCCUGGGGAAGUACGGUC
rnacentral:rRNA from 1 species